CGCACAAUUUUUGUUCUCAUCCUGAAGCAGAGUUCUUAACCCGAGGUACUAUUUCAGGGUUAGCAGAGUCUGUAACCUGAAGGGUCUGCAACCUGAAGCAUCUGUAACCCGAGGUACCACUGUAGUGCAAAUGCAAAGAUUGCAACAUUGGUCAAAAGGCCUACAGAUUGGGGACAACAUCAAAGAGAACUGUGUUGCUAAGGAUGAAGUAAUCUCAAAUUCACCCUUAUCUCACACCCUUAUCUAGAGUGCUACUUCAAAAACAAUGGAACCCGUCCCAUUAGGGCAGCAUUCUUGGCUUCCCACCUGCAUAUAUAGGCAUGAACUCUGUGAAGGCAUCACAUUUGCUAGUUCAUCCUUGGGACUCCUUUCAACGGCACACAAGUCUGAGAAGAACCAUGAAGUUCGUCUGUCUCUUCUUUGCCGUGGUCUUCCUUGGCAUUUCCCAGUCUGAUGAAGCCGAUGUGCAAAAGAAAUGGAGAAAGCCCUUGGAAGACUUGCGUGGCCUUCAGGGCCAAGACCCAGCUUUGCCAGCUGACGAUGAUGAAGCUUUGAAGGAUGAAGGAAACAUGAAACGGAGGAAUGGUACCAAUCUAUGUGAGAGUGCCGGUGGUAAAUGCUUUUUCGCCUUCUGCCCUCGUGGAUCUAUGCGCAUUGGAAAAUGCGGCCGAUUCCGUCGCUGCUGUAAAGCAAACUGAAGUAACUGAGAGGGAUUUCAA
rnacentral:lncRNA from 1 species